AUACUACUCCCUCCGUCUAACGAAAGAUGUCUUAAGUUUGUGAAAAUUUGGAUGUAUUUAGACAUGACUUAGCGUAUAGAUGCAUUCAAAUUUGGUCAAAGUUGAGACAUCUUUUGUUGGACAGAGAGAGUACAAA
rfam:Brachypodium distachyon strain Bd21 chromosome 5, whole genome shotgun sequence.